rnacentral:rRNA from 1 species
UACGAAGGGGGCGAGCGUUGUUCGGAUUUACUGGGCGUAAAGGGCGCGCAGGCGGCUCAUUUUGUCAGGCGUGAAAGCCCCGGGCUUAACCUGGGAACUGCGUUUGAUACGGAUGGGCUAGAGUUCGGGAGAGGAGAGUGGAAUUCCCAGUGUAGAGGUGAAAUUCGUAGAUAUUGGGAAGAACACCGGUGGCGAAGGCGGCUCUCUGGACCGAGACUGACGCUGAGGCGCGACAGCGUGGGGAGCAAACAGG